UGACCAAGGACAAGAUGGAUGGAUGGUAUCCUUGAAGUGACUGGCUUGACCUUGAAGGAGCUGGGGGUGGUGACAGCCAAUAGGCAUGGGCUGGUCUAUGAAGCAACUGAAGGAGUAAACAACAACAAUGACACUCAGUUUUGGCGUCUGAGGUUUUAGUGCUAAAGUAUCAUUAAACUCACCUCCCUUAAAUCUUUCGUGUUAUUCUGACGUGCAGAAAAAGCCAUCCAGAUCAAAAAGAAGCAACUCUAUGUAUGCUUAAACAUUCUAAUUUGACUCCAGGACUGAACCUUGGCACUGGCAAUAUGCUCUCUCUCUAUUCCCAUAUAAUACCUGUGCAUGUGUGUAUAUGGGGAGAGAGAGAAAAAAUCCAGUGAUGCCUAGAGAAAAACAUUAAACCCCCGAUGCUUAUUUUCAGAGGUUUUAAAUUAGAAAGAUAACAUACAUUAGUUGUAAUACUUUUCUAUAGCCUUGAGAGCUCCAGUUUCAUAUUUGUAUUGUUUCAAUGUGUAACUAUUUGUGUUUCUCCAUCGUGGCAUUUAUAGUUUCAAUGUGCUUUGCCUCGGGCCACAUGGGAGUUUAUGAAUGUGCUGGCAAGAGUCAACAAGAAUAAGGUUUAACUUAUGAAAAGUCACUUGUGUAAUAAGUGGGUGGUCUAUCAGCUUUAGAAUUUUGCUGAGAUUGCUGGUCAUUGUAUAAGCUUCAUUUUAUGCACAGGACACAAUGAAAUAUCAGUCUUUUAGUUUCACGAGAGACACCAAACAUCAGUAUGCUACUCUUGACUUGAAGAUUAGAAAUGUACUUGGAUGACAUGAUUCUCUCCUUCAGUGAAGUAUCUUAAUCUAUUUGCCAAGGCAUCAGAAAAAAACCCCCAAUAAGGUAAGUAUGUUGUAUUCACAGCACAUUUUUAAGAUUUAUAGCAGCGAGGAAACAAAAACACUAUACUCUCCAAUUGUCCCCAUUAAUUGCCAUUCCAUUUUUCAAAUUUUUUCAAAAGUUUCUUUCUUCUCCUUUGAGCUAGCUUUUAGCUUAGCUCAAGUGCUACAAAUUGUGUUCAGACCCCAAAAGCAGUUUGUACCCAAUUAACUCAGUGUGGCAGAGUAGAGGGAAAUUUUGUAGUCUUACUCAUAAGUAAACUGUUGCAUUCUCUUUUUGCUUAUGUGUUCUUGACCACAUUCUGAUGUUGCUUGAGCACAUAUGUCUGAGGUUUUAUCUGUGAAAUAUUGGAGGAUAUGAAUUCAUCCCCACCACAGCACUAACAUUUUCCAGUGGUGGGAUUCCAUGCUCAUGUGAGGAAGGAGGCUAUGCUGAUAAUAACAGCACUGUAAGUAAGGUCUCCCAUGUUGGACAGGCUUUCGUUGAGAAGCCAGACUAAAUAUGCCUAACAGCCACUAAGCAGCAGUAGUAGUGAGGGAUGAUGCUCGUAGAGGAUCUCUCAAGGAAAAUGACAAUGACACAGUAGAUAACACUUAUUUGUUCUGUGCAGGCAGAGGCAUUAUAAACCCUUUUUGAAUAUCUUCUACCAUGAAAACCCUAUGAUGUGACAAUCCAGGAUAAAACAAAACCUAGUGCCAGAUGACACAGAUCGGAAAGUAUUGAGUGAGCUACAGACGACAACAAUGAGUAGCAAUGUGAUUAAUGCUGCAAGUGGACUCAAGCCAAAUGGAUGUUUAAGUGGUGACAUGCUCAGCGGUGAAAAGAAAGACCAAAGAUGCACAACAUAUGUUAUAGGAAUAUGUGAGAAGCACAAAUCAGGGGAAGCUAGACAUAGCAAAACAAGAAAUGGAAGUUGUAAUAUCUGUGAUCCAAUGUGUUGUCGAAGGCUUUCAUGGCCGACUCUGAACAAAAGAUGCCCCCAGGCAGGAAGAAGCCAGGAGAUGAAGCUAUUGAAUGCUAAUUAAGGUGAUUCAUUACAACAUUCACACUGGCCUCCAACUGACAAGAGUUCUUUUCUCACCCUGGACUUUCCACAGAUAUAUAAACCUUCCUUGCUUAGUUUCUCCAUACCUCAAAACCUCUGAGGAUGCCUGCCAUAGAUGUGGGUGAAACGUCAGGAGAGAAUACUUCUGGAACAUGGCCAUACAGCUCAGAAAACAUACAAACACCCCAUCUGUGAUACACUUCAGUAAUAUAAGUUAAAUUUUGUAGUUUGUAAUCUGCAAUCUUGUAGCUUGUUUUUGUUAAUAACUGCUAUUAAUUUUUUUAUUUUAUAUCAAUUUUUUAAUCAAGUAUGAUUUUUUAAAAAAGCAAUGUGACACUAACAAGAACAUCUGAGGUUGUAUGCAUAUGCGAUUAUAUAGGAUAAGAUCUGGACAAAUAUUCUUUGUCCAGAUAAAUAAAUCUCACAAUGCAAAGGUAGGUUCAGUCUCUGCUUUAGUAAUUUGGAAUAUUAAGAUUUAUUCAUCGUAUACUCAUAUAUAUUCAUCUAUUUUUAUACCCCCUUGGUCCAGUUGAACUCCCUCUCAUCAGAAAAUCCUUUUUCAUUUUUAUUGAUUGACUGAUUAUAUUUAUAUCCCAAAUUUCUUUCAAAAUGGGAUUCAAAACAAAAGUCAGGUAGUUUGAGUGAAUCAGUCUGGACCUUGACUGUGUUGCCCUUCCCAAAAUUCAUGUGCAUUUUUUUUUGACAGAUUGUAGCCCACUGUAAGUCCUAGUAGGAGACAACACUAGCUCCCAGACCAGCAAAAGCUGUUUAUGUAUUUGGUUUGCACAAACCAUUGAUAGAUACUUAGGAGAAAGGGAAGAACUGUGUUACUAACCACAUCAAUGCAAGUGGUGAUGAAACCAGCAAAAAUUGGGAUAAAACCAACAGUUGUGUUGAUUUUGUGGAUUAACCUAGUCAAUAUCACACAUAGACACAUUUUCACAUAUUCACUACAUGUUAUUAUUCCUGACAAAUCUUACAAACUCAGUAUUAGAGGAAGGCACGAGCGAUGCUCUGAAAAUCUUGUCAAGAAAAGCCCUGUGAUAAGAUCACAGUCAGCUGGAAGUGAUUUGUAGGCAGACAACAAAGUACCUUACAAGCCCAAAGAAGAGGAAAAGUGUUUCUAGUCAUCACUGCCCUCUGAACAUCCAAACACAGCAGGUAGUCCAGGAGAUCCUCUUCAGCUUCUACUACACAUUGGAAAAGAACUUGGAAAAGUUACUUUUGGACUAAAAUCUAUAAAUUGACUGGAUAUUAGAGAUGUGCGCUGUAUUGUUUCACAUAUUUCAUUCGUCUUUUGUUUUGUAUCACCCAUUUGGAUUGCAUGAUAUGAAAGAUGCCAUUUUAGGAUAAAACAAAAGGUGACACAAAAGAGAAAGCUGGACGGUCACUAUACUUUUGCUUUUGUGGCCUGACAGGGGGCUAUUUAAGGGGUGGACUGCACUGGGGAGUGCACACAGAUUUGGGUUUUCUUUUUUGCCUGGCUGCUUGACUUAUUUUAAUAAUUUUUCCUUUGAAAGGAAGGGGCUGGGAUUUUUGAAGUGGUAGGAGUGGGUUUGGCUGGGAAGCAUGUGUGGGGCUUUUCUUCUUUAUUCUUUGUGUAAAACCCCCUUCUUCCUCCCCCCUAUUAGCUCUUUUAAAAACAAAUAUAUUUUAAAGGAAAAAAAAUUGUUGGGCUUCCCUUCUCUGUUUGGAAAUCAAACCUGUCUCUAUCUCUAUUACUGGCCCUUGGAAAAUCUACUCUUUUAUUUCUCCCUAUCUCUCUGUAUUGCCUCUGGCUUGGUCCUCCCUCUCCUUUGGGCUGUAUAGAAAACAAAUACAAUAUGAUAGUCUUAUUAUUUUUUAUAGAUUACAUAUAUUUUUGAAAGCAAAGACAGUUUUGGGUUCCUAUCGCUAUUCAAACUUUCAGUCUCUCUCUAAAACUGGCCUUAGGAGAACUAUAAUUAUUUUCUCCCUUUAGCACCUUUAUUUAUAAAAAGGAAAAAAAAUGCUAGAAAUCGGGAGAAGAACCAAAUGUUUUAAAAGUUGGUGGGCUUAAAAGGGUCAAUAUGCCCUCCAUGUGUGGCCAUUUUCACCCCUCUAACCCUAAAACUCAGUUGGGGGGGAGCCUCUGAAGCCCACCUAUUGCCGCCAAUGGUCUGAAAAUUUUCAUUUUUUUUUGUCUGGGAAACGAAAAUCCUAUUUGUAUUGGUGCCCCGUUUUCAGAAGUGGUGACAAAUUUGAAAAUGAGACAAAACGAAUGAAACAAAACAAAACAGCAAUUCCAUACGAAUGCACAUGACUACUGGAUAUAUUAUAUUUUUCAAGCUAUGAGUCUGGAGUUAUUGGUAGGGUAACACACUGCCUUUGCUAAUCAUUAUGUCCAAAGAUACUCAGCAAGGUAUGUGUUGUAAUCAGGUAGGUUAAUCUAAAAUAGAUGGAGCCCUUGGUGGCGCAGAGGAUUAAACCACUGAACUGCUGAACUUGCUGACCGAAAGGCUGGCAGUUCAAUUCCGGGGAGCGAAGUGAGCUCCUGCUAUUAGCCCCAGCUUCUGACAAUCUAGCAAUUCGAAAACAUGCAAAUGUGAGUAGAUCAAUAGGUACUGCUUCUGCGGGAAUGUAGUCAUGCUGGCCACAUGACCUAGGAGGUGUCUAUGGACAACACUAACUCUUCAGCUUAGAAAUGGAGAUGAGCACCAACCCCCAGAGUUGGACACAAAUGAACUUAAUGUCAGGGGGAAAACCUUUACCUUUACCUUUAAUAAAACAGAUAAGCAAACAUUUCAGCAAAAUUGCCAGCUUCUUAUAGCUGGUCCAGGAUAUUUUGCUGUUUAAAGAAAAUAACAAAAUGGCACUCCCUUCCUUAGCAGGUUGGUUCAGGAGGUCCAAGAAGAUUGCAUGGCAUAUAUGACUACUUAUUGCAACAACACUUAACAACUGGAGAGUUUGCAAAGAUGGUGAAAGCUACCACCAUUGCCUUGGAAUGUAUAAUCAGCCCACCACCUUCUAUCCUUCUUCUCUGGCAUGAUGUCUUCUUUCUCCUAAAUAUAUAACUCAAACUACAUUGUGCUGGCUUUAUAUCAGGAAUUGCAUCUCCUUUUUCACCUUGUGUAUUUUCUGGACUAGAUCCUUCUUUCCCUAAUUCAAUUUGUGCUCUUUGUAUUCUCAAAUCAUACAAUUCCAGGUACUGCUUUAUGAACACUAAAUCACAUCAUUAUUAUGUCAUUUUGAAAGAAAAUCAAAUAAACCAGUGCUGCUGAUAAAUGAA